rnacentral:lncRNA from 1 species
GCUAUUUCCAGGCAAAGUACCUCUCGUCAUGAGAAUGUGUGGCAUCAUGUAAUUUGCCAAGUAGUUUUGCAUGGUAUUCCCCGAAUUAGUAGUUAAUUGGGGACUAAUUUUAUUGGCUGAAGAUAACAGAUUGUUUUGAUUGGGAUGUAUGUGGAGAAGGGGACUACAGAAUCUACUCUAAAGCCCGGAGGACUAACCAGAGGCUUUAAGAUCACUGCCUGCAUCACCUAGUUCAAAGGGUAACAGCCACCUUGGCUGUAUGUCUCUGCUAGAUCCUGGUCCUAGAGGAACCACAGGGUUUGAUAGACAGAACAAUGAUAUUCUCACCGUUCUGUACAAGAUCCCGGAGCUACCAGCUCCAUCAGACAGAACUAUGGCUAGAAAUGUUUUAGAAUUGCAGAAAGCCAGCUAAGUUCUAUCCUGGAAACCACACUUUUGUUUCCAGGGUUGAGGUUCUUUGUUGAGGCCUUUGUCUGACCCGAGACUGGUCCCAUAACUUUGAAGAGUCUGAGUUUUCUCAUCUGUAGAGGGGUGAUCCUCAGGACUGAAUGUGAUUCUCAGGGGGAGAUGCCUGUCACUCAGCAAGAUGGCCGUACAUUUGCUAAUGUCUGCAGGAAUGAUCUCGUGUGCUUCUGCAUACCUUGUGGCUGAAAGAUCCCUGUUUACCCUUUGCAGAGUGCCACUUUCUCAUGAGUCUUGCUUGGCUUACUAGUUGGAAUGACAAGGCUCACUCUGUUACAGCCAGUGGAGACUCCCAGCAGAAGCCGAAGGCCCGAACCAGGUUGUGACGUAAACACAAGGAUUCGGAUUACCACAGUUUCUGAUCAGAGUCAGUGGUGGGAACUGCAUGAGCAGGGCUUGCAGGCAGCACAUGGCCCAGGAAAGAGGAGCAUGGGCUGAACCAUUUGUUCAGGACACUGGUGUGCCUAGCCACUUGUCCCAUGUCUCCUGAGGCCUCUCUGAGAAGGAGACUGAAAAUGAUAAUGUCUUCAUGUUAUUAACACACACACACACACACACACACACACACACACACACGCCAGCUUCCUUGGGUUUGAAUCCAAGUCCCACAAGUUAACUGCUGUGACACUUUGGGCUAUAUUCUAGAGUUUUCUGUGCCUCCAGAGAUCUGAUAUAAGCAAAGGGGGCACAGCUCCCCUCACAGCCUGUGCUAAGUACCGGGUUACUUCGUUUUUCCAAAGCUUAGAGUGCAGUGUCUGGGAGUGAGCAGUGACAUAAUAAAGUAAGUGAAAGAAAACAAAUAGGUGGAGGAGAACCUGAAAGCGCUGCUGAUGCCAUCUGCUUCCCGAUGGUGGCAUGACUCUCACCUCAACGAAAGACCCUUGGGCUGGCCAGAUGAAUCCGUGCUGCCCACAGCUCACUGACAGCUGCAAAAUCAAGCAAAUGAAAGGCAGUGUGGCAGGCGUGCCCUCAGCACGCCUGCAGUGAGGCGCUGGCUUUCACAGGACUCUAUUCAGCCUGUGGACAGGCUAGACUGGAGAAACAUGGCCAGUGGGGAGUAGCUUGGGUGGUCCUCCUGGGGAUCAAGUCCUUUUCUAUACAGUGAAAGCUUUGGACCACCUUUUACAUGUGGAUGUGUCUGUCCUGGCCUCAAACCCCUUUCAAUCUCAUCAGGUCUCCAAAUUUACUCAAUUAAAGAAGUUGUUGUUGUUGUUGCUGUUAUUUUUUUUAAUUAUUAUUAUUAUUAUUAUUAUUAUUAUUGACUGGGCAAUUGCUUACCUGGUCUAGUGUGUCCUGGAGACCAAAGCUAGAUUUUUACUCCAGGGCCUGCCUCUAAUUGAGUGUCCAUAGGCAGUAUAGGGUGAUUCCCAUCCUGGGGACAGACUUCUACAACAGCCAACCUGACAGUGAGGGACCAGCCAAAGGCUUCCUGCUUCUCCCACUUGUAUUUCCAAAGGUUAUGCCCCAGAGGGCUUUAGCAUAGUGCUGAUGUGUAAUUCUAAUUCCCUUGGAAAUAGGGCUAAUUAGAGCAUUUGUCAUUGCUUGCUGUGAGGAUUAUCAGCCCUAGAUGAAGAAUGGCCUGAGCCAUUUCCAGUCUCUCAGUGCAGGUGCCCCCUUUCUGGAGCUGAACUGGGAUGUUUGCACAGAGAAGGUGUAGGGUGGGGGAAGGGACUGGGUGUUCUUAGUUAAAAAUACCUCAAAUAUUUCGUUUUCUAAAUCUGGAAGAGG